rnacentral:rRNA from 1 species
CUUUGAGGCUCUCCACAGUAGUGAGCCGAGUAUUUUAAGUAUAAUAUCUCAGAAGCUAAGCCGUGUUGGGUCUGGUUAGUACUUCGAUGGGAAACCGCUGUGAAUACCAGGUGUCAUAAUGG